UGAAGGUUGUGAAAUCCGGGACAGAGCGAUCAAGGAGCGGCUGUGAAGGCCUACAAAGAAAAAAACAGCUUCUACAUACAAAAUUAUUUUACAUCAGUUGAAACAAGAAAUGCAGAUUCCAUGAGCUCCAGACAUGGAAAUAAGCUAUAAGGGACAUGCAGACAAUGUGAAAAGUCUUCCAAAACAUCUGCCAUUCUGUCUACAAACAACUCGUCACACAAUCAGAAUAACCACAGAACAUUAAAACAAACUGUUACCUUUUUGUUACCUCUUGAAUGUGGACCUGUUUCAAACAAAUUCACUGUCCACUCUCUGUUCAAGUGGAGUCGAGCCCACAGAAUUACAUGAUAGAAUGUAACAGGUACAGGUUUCCUCCAUUGACUCUAAUGGUUACAUGCGGCUGUGAAGCUUGGAGGCUAUAAGGCAAGUCCUACACAAAAUACAUUUUCAUAAACCCAUAAAAGCAGAAGGGAGGAGGAGGAGGAGGAGGUGGUGCAAUAAUCAUGCAUUUCCCAGCAAGGUCAUUGAUGGUCCUCCUCAUUACAUUGCUAUUUGAAGCAGCUUGCUGUGACAAACGAUUGGGGGCAGCGUUGCUGAACAACUUAAAAAUUAAAACAUGUCCUAAGGCGGUUCUUUUCUGGGCGAAUAUCUGGAGGGGCGAGCCUUUCACAAUAACUGUUUGUUUUCCUGCCAGAUACUCUGCAGCCCCAAGUGACAAAUAUUUUAAAAUGAGCAAGAAAGAAAGAAAGAGAGUCUCUACUUUGCAGAGGAUGGAUGGGCCUAAGAUAAUGGCCUUUCAAUGUACCAUGCAACUCUCUAGUGGUUUGAAAUGAUCAUUAAAAAAAAGAAAAAAAAAAAAAAGAAAAAA